rnacentral:rRNA from 1 species
GACGAACGCUGGCGGCGUGCCUAAUACAUGCAAGCCGAACGAACCGCGACUAGGUGCUUGCACUUGGUCAAGGUGAGUGGCGAACGGGUGAGUAACACGUGGGUAACCUACCUCAUAGUGGGGGAUAACAGUCGGAAACGACUGCUAAUACCGCAUAGGACAUAGGAUCACAUGAUUCUGUGAGGAAAGGUGGCGCAAGCUAUCGCUAAGAGAUGGACCCGCGGUGCAUUAGCUAGUUGGUAGGGUAAAGGCCUACCAAGGCGAUGAUGCAUAGCCGACCUGAGAGGGUGAUCGGCCACAUUGGGACUGAGACACGGCCCAAACUCCUACGGGAGGCAGCAGUAGGGAAUCUUCCGCAAUGGACGCAAGUCUGACGGAGCAACGCCGCGUGAGUGAAGAAGGUCUUCGGAUCGUAAAGCUCUGUUGUUAGAGAGGAACAGCGCAUAGAGUAACUGUUAUGCGUGUGACGGUAUCUAACCAGAAAGCCACGGCUAACUACGUG